GUGAAGUCAAUGUCGGCACCAUGGUGACGGCUCACACUGUUUACAAUGCGCAGUUUCGCUUCGUCAGAAGCCGUUGAUGGGCUCCAUUUGCAUACACCUUUCGCCGACGUGUUUGGUCUUCGCACACUCUGAAUUAUAGAAAAAGCAAAAAUGAGUAUUUUCAAUGGAAGGAGAUGCUUAUGAAUGCACGGGCCUACUUCCCUGUUUCACAAACGAGCAACCUCGCUUUUGCACAAGGAUAAACUGCUGAGAAAGAAAAAAAAGGAAAACAUCACACGAGUCUAGUGACGAGCUGAAGUCUGGCAGGUGGGACAAAAAUCUGAGAGAAAGUACACUGUGGUGACUACAAAGAGAUGAGGAUUAAAGACAAAGAAGCAAAAUAUCUGGCAGCAGAAGAAGCACUACAAAUGUGGCCCCUGAGUUUGCAACCAGUAAUGCCUGGUGGGUGUGACCAGGACAGGUGGGGUUGAACUCGGCUGGACAGCGCUGUUAGUUAUUGGUGGAUUGGGAGGCCAUAUGAACUGCAGAUUUAAGUGCGUUACAACAUAAUAUACUUUUUCUCAAAGAGGAAUUAGAAAUAUUUCAUUAAUAGAAAUAUUUAUUGUUGUGCAAACACAACUGAGGCACACCAUUCUAUUAAUAACCUGGAUAUGGUCACUUUAUUUGGUGACAACACAUUUAAGCCCUCCAUCCUCAAACAACUGUCCUUCCUGCUUUAAAUUCCAAUUAUAAACAUUAAUCACACAUGUCUUUCAUUUUCAAUUAUGGGAGAUAAUCAUUUAAGAAUGUGGUGUUCUUAUACAUGCAUAUUCCAUUGCUAAUGUUAGAAUGCAGUGUCAAGAACAAUAUGUCAAUACUGCAUAAAUGAGACCAUAAUGCACAUAAUUCAAAUGUCUGUUUCAAUAAAUUUUCUAUUUUAAUACUAAAUUAUGUCCUCUGUAUAUGAAGUCUUCAUAUGAAAGUGGAAAAGUAUAGUAUUCCUUUUUGUGUUCCAAAUAUAAACAAAUUAACAUCUUGUCUUCCUAAAAUUCUGUGGAAUGUUCAUAUACAUGUGAAGUUUAUGCUAAAAUGAGAAAAGAGCAAACAUGACUGUGUACACCACCCUGGGGUCAUUUCUUACUCUCUGCUCUCAGGUCAGUGCUAUGGAUGGUACCUCUCUUUGCUAAACAGCUCUCCCCCUCCCUCUCUUUGUCUGUCCACACUGAGGCCAGCUGCUGCUAGCAUCCCUUUGUCAUUUUUUAUCCUGGACUGACUGGAUCGCCUGCAUGUAUAUAUCUCUCAUAUUCCCCUUCCCGCGCCCCCGUUAAUGAUUUACUCUGAAUCAGCAUUCAUGUGUCCGAACCCGUAAUUUCGCUACAGCCAGUCCUCCGAGGCCACGCAGCGCGCACGCUCAGGUCACCCGUGAUGAAUACCCGAGGACAAGCGGUCCCUUAGACCCAGGCCACACGGAAAGGGCCCGGCGCGUCUUAUUGGAAGCCCUUUGUGAAUAAUUAAUGGCAACGCCUGACUGGUGCAGGGAUUCUGAGGCUAACAGGCCGCCUUGUUGAUGACGUGAAUAUAUACCACGCGCACGGCGCUGAAGCAGCUCUUCCUGACCGGCGCUAGGGCUCUCACCAGCCGUCAUGUACGGGUGAUCCAAAGCUCCAUGUACAUAAUUAACACAGUAAUCCAGCAGGUGAGCUUAUCACUGCAAACCUCCAUGUUCCAUUUCAAAAUUAAUAGCUCUUCCUGUAUCAAGAAUUAUGUAUAAUUUACAUCCUAUUUUUGACAUGAGUGGAGAGGACUAAAUUAAGAUGAAAUGAUUUUUCCCUUUCCUGAGCAUUUUAUUAAUUAUUAUGAGGACUGGUCAAAUAAUGAACCAAUGGUGUAUCUAUUUUUACCUGAUUGUGUGUGAUAAAUGUUUCAAUUCUAUAUCCUGUCACAUUUAAAUCGAGUAUAGGUCUGAUAAAUCUCUAGCACGUGGGGCCAUCUUUGAAGAAGCUUAAAAGCCCUAUACCAUAUUUCUUAAAAAAAAAAAUCUAAAUAAGCCUUUAACAAAGCACAACACUUAUCUUAAAGAAGUUUAUAUAUAUAUAUACUGUCGCGAAUUUAAACGUAACCUAUCAUAUUCUUACAAAGAAAAAUAUUGUGUACGAUGUGCACAAAUGUUUCAGAUAACUCGUUCUAAAUAUGGCAGUUUUAACUGGAACUUUAUUUCUUUAAAAUGUUGAAUUUGCAUCAGAAUUUUUUUUUUUUUUUUUUAGGUUACUUUUUUACUACAGCGUUUUUGUUUGGCUUUUUGGGUAACCUAAGUUUAAAAUGUCUGUACGUUAAAGACUGGAUACUAAUAAUUUUAGUUAAAUUUCAAUAGCCAGUAAUGUAAACAGUUAUUAUAAGUCUUGUACACGGUAUAUAGGCCCAUUAAGAAAGGCUGGUCUGUAAGCACCAGAUUCUGACUAACUUUAGAAUUUAUAAAUGAAUGAAAAUACAAUAAAACUACAACUCGUUGACACCGUUAGGAUUCAACGUCUUUACUUAUGUAAAUACAAUAAAUAUUAAAAUAAAGAUAUAGAAUUGUUAAUCAUCGGUGUUUUCGUCUCAUGGAUCCACCGAAAGUGGUGCCUCGGGGUCGCCCGAGAAAAUAGUGGAAUUCCGACCCUUUUUCUUAACAGGGCCUCUCGGCAGCGAGCUAUAGCCGUGUGAGUUCAUAAAGAGGGUAUCGGCACUUUGACAACAAGAGAGCCAUUUUGCCAGGGCAACGGCGAAUAAACUGAGUAUGAAAUUUAGGCUCUUUUAUGAAUGUAGUUUUGUGGUUUUAUUUAAUUUUGCCUCAUUAUUAUUAUUAUUAUUAUUAUUAUUAUUAUUAUUACACUCAAAGGUGUAUCAUUGGUAUUCUGAGAAGAGAUCACCCUGCCCGAUGUUUCUGCGUAAUACUAUUACAUUUCUGUUUUGCAAAUGAUAGGCCUAUCCGUUGCUUUUUGCACCAUUGUAAUUGGGUCUGAGUUGUUUGCCAUAGUUAUGUAGUCGUGUGCUUUAAUAACAAGCAUGUUUUGUAGUGGGACAGCUUGAUCUUUUAGGCUACUCCACGGUUAAAUGCAAUGAACGCAACUUAUUUUAAUGCAACUGUGUCGACCUUCGGUAUGCACCUAUUGUACGUCGUUUUGGAAAGCGUCUGCCAAAUAAAAAAUAAUGUAUGAAUUCAUUCAUAGUCUACAGUUAUUAUUUCAUGUUUUUUUCAUUCGUUGUUGUUGUUACU